rnacentral:rRNA from 1 species
GUUGAGGUAGGGUACUGGCAACAGUGCUCUGCUGAAAUAUUUUCACCCAUGUCUUUUGCGCACUUUUUGUUUCCUGGGCGAGUUUGCUCGCCACCAGGACCCCCAUAUGAACCUUUUUUGUUUUUGCACUCAGCGUCAGUACAAUAAUUUAAUCUAUUAAAACUUUCAACAACGGAUCUCUUGGUUCUGGCAUCGAUGAAGAACGCAGCGAAAUGCGAUACGUAGUGUGAAUUGCAGAAUUCAGUGAAUCAUCGAAUCUUUGAACGCACAUUGCGCCCUUUGGUAUUCCAAAGGGCAUGCCUGUUCGAGCGUCAUUUGUACCCUCAAGCUUUGCUUGGUGUUGGGCGUCUUAUUGUCUCUCCGUCUCGGGGAGACUCGCCUUAAAACAAUUGGCAGCCGGCCUACUGGUUUCGGAGCGCAGCACAAAUUUGCGCUUGCAAUCAGCCAAGGGCGGCAUCCAUGAAGCCUUUUUUCUCUCACAUUUUGACCUCGGAUCAGGUAGGGAUACCCGCUGAACUUAAGCAUAUCAAUAGCCCGGGAGGAAAUGGUCCCCCCCACGUG